AAGGCUAUAACUUAGAGCUGCUAACUCUAUAAUAAUGGAUACAUUUAGCCUUU
rnacentral:tRNA from 1 species